CUGGGGGUAGCUCUUUGCUCUUUGCCCCCCAGAGUACGAUAGAAAAUAAAUGAUGACCAAAUAAUGGCAUUGAGAUUUGAUACAGAACUACACUCAAUACGACCCAUGCAUGCCAUUCAAAUCCA